ensembl:lncRNA
CUUUGAAUUUUUUCAUGCAGUGUUUGUUUCACAUUGUCUUUAAUGUCAUUCUGUUCAGAAGCAGUUCCUUGGGAAUAAUUACAAAAGGUCAAUGGAAUUGCUUCAGAAAUAUCUUGGAUCUCGAACUUCCUUUGAGUUUCACAUGACUGAGCUUCAACUCUCCCAUUUGUUUUAUUAAUUUUUUCAGAGGCAAGUAGUUAAGUCUGAAAAAAUACUUAGUAUACACUUUUGCCAAAAAGUUUCAUGUGCAAUGUUUGUUUUCAGUCAUAAGGUUCACUUACUUCUUCUACUCUUAAUAUCUACAUGUUAAUAUUUUAUGAUGUAGUGAAGGGAUAAAUCUUUCAUAACUAAAGAGAGUUCCUAGAUUUUUACACAGUCACAGCUUCAAUGUUUACCAUUGAAAAUCUAUUAUAGACUCCAGAAUAGAGGCUCUUCCCUGGAAAAAGCCAAGUUUGUAGACAGAUGGUAAGCUGCCAUGUAGGAAUUUUCAACAAAGCAGUAAAAACUUUGAAGUUUCUCCCAUGGGUUCUACAAAUAAUUUUAAUUUACCGACAACUAUAUGGCCAGGUCUGACUGAAUUAAUCAGUGCAAGUGAUAUUGACAUAUUUCACAUCCUUACAGAGUUUUCCUUCUCCUUUUCUGGACCCUAAGUUCGAAUUAUUUCUUCAUUAUUGAAUGUGCAUAGAUGCACUUUGUUAGAACUGAAAAGUAUUGAUUUUUGCGAAAAACUAUUGUUAUUAAAUGUAAUUUUCAACUAAUGUGUUUUUGCCUCUGCUGCCGAUAGGGAAUACAAUUGCACAGAAGCACCAAAAAUGCUCCUCAUGGUUUAGGGGCACAAAUGGCUGGAUGUGGUUCAUUGUUUACUGGAAGCUCUCUGACAGUGAGCAGUCCUUUCCAUCCCCCAAACCAUGGAAAGAAGAUUGUGAUCAAGCUUCUUGGUAAGAAUUCUGGGAACUCAAACUCGGCAGCAUCCUUUCUGUAAGUUUUAUCUCUGUUCCUAGCGUACAUUACUUUCUUGCCUUCAGUCCAAGUAGUACCUGAUUGUGUACUUCAGCCUCAGCCUCUGUGUGCAGUGUUGCAAUCACGCUGCACUUGCUUGGAGUUGACAAUACCGUGGUAUUUUGUCACACCUGGGUGCUGAUCAGAUUAAGUCCCAUCUCCCCUUUAUUCUGUAUCUGUUUCUUUCAUGUGAUUAUUAAAUGCUGCUGAUUUCCUACUGGGUAACUAUUUAAAGUCACACUGAUUCUGUAUUCUGGACAAAUUCCUGAAGUGUUUAGCUUUUUUCAAAAGAGGCUAUUGACUCAAUUACAGAGAUUGUUUUAAAUCAGAAGACUAAAACUUUGGAUUUUCAGUUCACAUUUGUGUUUGGGAGUCAAUAUGGUCUUAUUUUCUAAAGAAGAAUCUAUAACUUACAGUCAGAUAUACAGUGCAACACAAAACAAACAAAAAAAAAAGAAAGAAAGAAAAAAGAAAAGAACAGAGAAGGACCCCCAGGGCAUGCCCACAAGCCUCCAGCUUGGCCUUGCAGUCAGAACGGUCCUGGGUGGCUGUACCCUGCUCUGUUGGGCUCACCCCUCCCACUUGCAACCAGGAGACUGUGAGGACCCCCCCCCCCAGGCAUACCCACCAGGUGCCAGCUUAGCAGCGUGGGCACUUGCAAUAAUAGGCCCCUCACCCUCGACUCUGGCCUCUUGGCUGUGCAGCUACCUGGUUCCACGCAAUAGAGGCACAGGGGGACAUAAAGGCCAUUGUCCUGAACUGCAGAAGUGAACAACAGAGAGAGGGUCUCUCUCAGGAUCCCUGAUGAAAACUGAAGCCUACUGGAAAAGUGAAGAGAAUCUCUGCAAUAAAGGCACACCAGACCACUGUAGUUGGUAAGUUGGAGGGAUCAUCACCUCCCAUUUGAACCUGGACUAUCUUCAAGGGAAAGGCGUCUGGAACCUGUAAUAGAACUUUGCAGGAUUCAACCCUGCAGAAGGACAGGGAGCUCACCUUGGGACUUGCAGCCAGAAAUCUGCCUGAAUCUCAUGAGUCUGUGACUGGCUUACUGAGACUCAUUGACUUAUAACUGCACAUUGCUGCCCACAUUGUUUAUUUUGACAGCAAAGAUAUACCCUGAAGGAGCCCCUUCAUUUUUAUCUUUAUCUGAUAAUUUCAAAAUUACCACUAUUUUUUUCCUCUUAUUUUUGAUUUUUUCCUUCCUUUUCUACUUUUAAAAUUUUUAUUUUUCCCUUUUUUCCUUUUCUCUUUUCUUUCUCUCUUUCUCUCUCCCUAGUGCCCUUGCUGUUCCACAUUGUUCAUCUCCCUUUGUGUUACUGUUCUACCUCUAAUUCAUGUUUCUUUAUUUUUCUUUUCUUUUCUCUCCUCUUGCCUUGCCUUCUGGCCUCACUGCUAACCUUCCCCUAUCCCUCUAUGUACCUAUCCCUCCCUCCCCAAUUCCUUCUAACUCCCCAUCCAGAAGUGUAAAAUUGCUGUAGGGAAGAGUUUAUUCACUAUAAACAUAUGUAGGAUUGGUCCUUGAUCUUGAUUUAAUUCACAAAGUUAAAGGUGAUAGGUUAAUAAUCACCACAAAUUAUCAUUUUCUAAAAGGUACUUGAUGCUAUUGUGUUGCUGAUUGUAUCACUUGGGCUAAGGUGUUAUGAUUGAUCUAAUCAGUUUUCCUUUCUGGUAUAAUGAAAAUGAGAUAGCCUCAGAGCCAUUAGAGAUGCAAAGCUUAAAGACCAGCUAUAACUUGAAUUCACCUCUGAGAAACAAUCAUUCCAUAAGGGUUCUAAAUACAUCAACAAAGAUAUUUACAAUAAGCAACUUAAAGUAUCAACCCAGGAACUAAACCAAGGACAGUACCAAAAACAAAAAUGAGAAGACAUUUAAGCAAGUCACAAAUUCAGACUUCCACCCCACAAAAGGCAAACUCUGAGGGAAACAAGGUGGAAAAGUCUGAUAAUCAACCACCUGGACACCCUGAUCUGAUAGCACAGGAAGUAACAAAACAGAUGAAUGAGUCUCUAGAAAAAUUCAAAGCAGAAAUAAUCUCCCAGAUAACUAUAGAGAGGGCGAGAAGAGUGAAAGACAUGAUUAGAGACUCUAGAAAAGAAACAGAUAAAAAAAUAGAUGAGCUCAGAAACAUGCUGGAAGCCAUGAAUGCCCAGCAUAAGAAAGAAAUGGAAACCAUGAUUGCCC